GGGCCUGUAGCUCAACUGGGAGAGCGUCGGCUUUGCAAGUCGGAGGUUGCGCGUUCGAGUCGCGUCAGGUCCA
rnacentral:tRNA from 1 species